rnacentral:misc_RNA from 1 species
GUCCUAUCGUGCAUUCCUCUUCAAUUAUUGGCACAAGAGCCUAUUUUGCCUUGGCCAAGUCGCCGGUUUCCUGUGCUGUAUACCUACAUAGACGGAACUCGUUUGGCAAUGAUCCCGAGUUUUCCCAACGCUGCCCGUUGACACGGUGCGGAAUCGGGAGAACCACAAGGCGAAACUCGUGCUCCGAGCAGCGUACAAAUCGUUAUGCGGUAUCGGCSCACGGGCGUAGCUCGAUUUCGGGGAUUCAGAAAACGCUGCGGGUAAGGGUCCACGACCCUCUAUUGACCCACGAAUCGGCAUUACACGCCCCAUUCGAUUGACGUUUGAUGUCUCGUGGAUGUUUUACGUCCCGCGACUCAAUGUCUCCGAGGAAUGCUACCUGGUUGAUCCUGCCAGUAGUCAUAUGCUUGUCUCAAAGA